rnacentral:rRNA from 1 species
AUUGAACGCUGGCGGCAGGCCUAACACAUGCAAGUCGAACGAGUGGCGGAGGGGUGAGUAAUGUCUGGGAAACUGCCUGAUGGAGGGGGAUAACUACUGGAAACGGUAGCUAAUACCGCAUACCAUCAGAUGUGCCCAGAUGGGAUUAGCUAGUUGGUGGGGUAACGGCUCACCAAGGCGACGGUCCCUAGCUGGUCUGAGCGGAUGACCAGCCACACUGGAACUGAGACACGGUCCAGACUCCUACGGGUGGCACCAGUGGGGAAUAUUGCACAUUGUGCGCAAGCCGGAUGCAGCCAUGCCGCGUGUAUGAAGAAGGCCUUCGGGUUGUAAAGUUCUUUCAGCUGUGAGGCGUUACCCGCAGAAGAAGCACCGGCUAACUCCGUGCCAGCAGCCGCGGUAAUUC